rnacentral:rRNA from 2 species
UAACCAUAGUGCGAUAGUUCUACCUGACCCCAUUCCGAACUCAGAAGUAAAAUGUCGUAACGCCGAUGGUAGUGUGGGGCUUCCCCAUGUGAGAGUAGGG